GGACUCAUUGUUAUCAACUUUAGCCGAGAAGUGUGUCUGUGUCCAAGCAUUCUCCACCCCAACUGAGAGAUCUUGUAUCCUUCCUGAAACAGAAAACAUGCUAAUUUUUUGCUCAAAAACUAAUUUUAAUUUGCAAAAGUUGAUAACUGCAGUUGGAUUUUAUGUUAAAAUGUUCAUUUGAGAGAGGAACUUUUAUUUUUUAAACCAGCUUUAAUUUUGUUUGAGUCAAAUGAAAAUUGUUGAUGCAUACUUUAAAUUAAAAUGCUACUGUAACCAAAACCAUUUGUACUAUAUUUUAUUCCCUAACCAAAUGAGAGCCAGUUAGAGAAUCGAUGAGGAAUCGAAUCGAUAAAUGAUAUUGAUAAUGGAAUUGGUAUCGCUAAAUUCUUAUCAGUUCCCAUCCCUAGUCUUUAGUAUUUAAUAUUCUUUUGAAAAUUAUUUAUUUUCAUAUUUCUUCAAUAGACAUUGCAGUGUGUUAUUGGUGGAUGCCAAGAAAAUACUGUUAAACUGAAGAAAUUUAAUGUUAAAUUAGCAGUAUUCAAUUCCCAUUGAGGUAAUCAGAUGCCUUAAUUUAAAAAAAAAAAAGUGACAUAUUUUUACGUUUUCAAUGUCCAGAUCUUUGACUUUUGUUUAAUUAAAAAGAAGUUAAAAAAAAAUUAACAAUAAAUAUUCAGUUUUGCUAAACUGAAAAAGUGACUCUGUUGUACUUUUAAGUUAUGCCAACUUCCUAUGGGAGACAUGAAAGCAAUGAGUACCAAUUACUAAAUAUUUUUGAAUUUAUUUAUUAAACAUGUUAGUUUUAUUGUAGCCGAAAGGUACAUGUCAAAGGUAAGUGCCUCUGUUCACAUAAAAGUAUUCACACUAUUAAAAAUCUGUUUUGUGUGUUUCUGUUUGCGAGCUGUACGUAUGGGCCAUGAUUGGCCAUGGCCUCAGCAGGACCCGGCCAUCCCCUGCGCCCAUGCCGGCAUCACCUUCAGAAGAGGCGACAUCCUGGAGAUUGUGAACCAGACGGAUGCCCUCUGAUGGCAGGCAAAGAAACUGCCCAGCAACACGGCAUGUGCCGGCCUCAUCCCCUCUAUCAACCUACUCAUGCUCAUCCAAUCUUGUACUGCAUAUAAUAGUGUACCAUCUUCUGAUAGCUGCUUCCAGGAGGAUAACACACCAUGUCACAAAACUAAGAUCAUUUCAAACUGGUUUCUUGAACAUGACAAUGAGUUCACUGUACUCAAAUGGCCCCCACAGUCAUCAGAUCUCAAUCCAAUAGAGCACCUUUGGGAUGUGAUGGAACAGGAGAUUCUCAUCAUGGAUGUGCAGUGGACAAAUCUCGGAGGAAUGUUUCCAACACCUUGUUGAAGCUUUGCAAAGAACUGAGAUUGCUCUUUAGGUAAAAAAAAAGGGGUCCAACUGGUAUUAGCAAAGGGUACCUAAUAAAAUGACUGUAUUGAUAUAGUUAGGUGUAUUGUUGUGACAUUUCCUGCAGUAGGAUGACACUCGAAAAGUUCAUCCUCCAUCAAGGUCAAUGCCCAACUUCGCAAUUUUAAAUAAAGUCAUCUCGAACUGCACCAGAAAUAUUUUUUUUCCUCUCUUAGCCUUCUCCACGUCUCCACUGGGUUUCAACAAAGUACUUUAUCUCGUUAUCUCUUUCAUAGAGAUACUAACCUCAACUGAAGGAUGUGUGUGAGCAUUGAGAUCCUAAUAUAGAUUUAUAAACUGAAAGUCAAAGUGUUGUUUAUUGUUUGCAUCUUUCAUGGUUCUUUGCCAAUCAGGGUGCGGCAAAGCCACCUAUCAGCUUUAUACACACACUCUGACCCAUAAAAGCAUGUCACACCCUGCAUGUGUGCCAUGACCAACAACCACUUGAGCUCCUAUUUUGAGUAAAUGUUUUCUGGCGUAAAUAAAAAAGCCAAGCCUUUUUCUAAAGUUGUUUUUUUCCGCCCCCACUAACUGGAAGGUCAUUAUUUAUUGACAUCACAUGUUUCUCAUGUUAAUAACUACAAUCCAUACUGCUUUAUAAAAGUAUAGCAAUUAUUCACUUCAGCUGACAAAUAUUAGACUGAUGUUUCCAAUCAGGAGCCUUAUUAAAAAAAAUAGAUAUUGAAGUAGAAAAAAAUUUCUUGAUUUGCUGAGAAAAUUCUUCACAUUAAUAAACGGGACGCCCAACAUCAUACCAGCCUGUCUAAAUCACCAACUGUUGUACACAAAAACUGUGCCCAGUGGUUAAAACUUUAGAAUUAGAAAAACACAUUUUAAAAAAUUUGUAACUUCUCGUGCCAAUUUCUCCUGAAUCUGCUGCACCUCAAAGAUCCAAUAAAUGCAAUAAAAUGUCCAAAUGUUUUUAGCAGAAGUUCUCUGAGUGUAAAA